CUUAAAUUGAAGAGUUUGAUCAUGGCUCAGAUUGAACGCUGGCGGCAGGCCUAACACAUGCAAGUCGAGCGGAAACGAGUUAUCUGAACCUUCGGGGGACGAUAACGGCGUCGAGCGGCGGACGGGUGAGUAA
rnacentral:rRNA from 2 species